GACGAACGCUGGCGGCGUGCUUAACACAUGCAAGUCGAACGGAAAGGCCCUUCGGGGUACUCGAGUGGCGAACGGGUGAGUAACACGUGGGUGAUCUGCCCUGCACUUUGGGAUAAGCCUGGGAAACUGGGUCUAAUACCGAAUAGGACCACGCGCUUCAUGGUGUGUGGUGGAAAGCUUUUGCGGUGUGGGAUGGGCCCGCGGCCUAUCAGCUUGUUGGUGGGGUAAUGGCCUACCAAGGCGACGACGGGUAGCCGGCCUGAGAGGGUGACCGGCCACACUGGGACUGAGAUACGGCCCAGACUCCUACGGGAGGCAGCAGUGGGGAAUAUUGCACAAUGGGCGCAAGCCUGAUGCAGCGACGCCGCGUGAGGGAUGACGGCCUUCGGGUUGUAAACCUCUUUCAAUAGGGACGAAGCGCAAGUGACGGUACCUACAGAAGAAGCACCGGCCAACUACGUG
rnacentral:rRNA from 1 species